rnacentral:rRNA from 1 species
GACGAACGCUGGCGGCGUGCUUAACACAUGCAAGUCGAACGGAAAGGCUCCAGCUUGCUGGAGUACUCGAGUGGCGAACGGGUGAGUAACACGUGGGUAAUCUGCCCUGCACUCUGGGAUAAGCCUGGGAAACUGGGUCUAAUACUGGAUAUGACCUUUCUCCUUAUGGGGUUUGGUGGAAAGUUUUUCGGUGUAGGAUGAGCCCGCGGCCUAUCAGCUUGUUGGUGGGGUGAUGGCCUACCAAGGCGACGACGGGUAGCCGGCCUGAGAGGGUGAUCGGCCACAUUGGGACUGAGAUACGGCCCAGACUCCUACGGGAGGCAGCAGUGGGGAAUAUUGCACAAUGGGCGGAAGCCUGAUGCAGCGACGCCGCGUGAGGGAUGACGGCCUUCGGGUUGUAAACCUCUUUCAGCAGGGACGAAGCGUAAGUGACGGUACCUGCAGAAGAAGCACCGGCUAACUAUG